GGGGGUGUACUGGCUUCGAUUCGGACGUUUGCCGUCUGGGAGAAGCGGGCCGUGAUCCCGGAUGUCACGUUAAACGCCGGACCAAACCAAGCGCCAACAACGAGUUCGCGCUCGCUGCCUAAUCCGUUAGGUAGCUGCUCGCCCCGUGUGCCUACGGUCGGGGGUCGGGUAUCACCUAAGUAGGCUCACUCCGCCGGUUCCGACCGGAGGCUGGCGGGGGACACCGCAUCCGGUCUGGCCCCGAGGUGGUCUGCCGAUGGACGACCGAGGGGCGAGAUCCAAGCAUCGGCUGCGCCCGGAGAAGUCCCAGUUGGUCGCCCGGACACGCGGGUUCGAACCCCGCCACCUCCAAGA
rnacentral:tmRNA from 1 species